GGUGAUAACAUCUUUAAUGUCUUACUUCUUCUUUGGGGUCUGGUUAUUCUUUAUUGGUCACAGUUUUUUCAUGGGUCCAGUGUGAC